GUAUUGGUGUGAAGUGGGAGAACUAGAAAUGCCUGUUCACAUCAAUGUCAGUCAACAUACUGCAACACAAAUCAUCACUGCUAUCACAAACCAAGCUGAGGGGAACAUGGAGGAAGUCCACCAGAGGUCCAUAGAUGUGAAAGUCCUACUGAUUCCUUGGGGCAUGUUGGUGGUGGUGACAGCUGGUAUC